CCAGACUCCUACGGGAGGCAGCAGUGGGGAAUAUUGGGCAAUGGGCGCAAGCCUGACCCAGCAACGCCGCGUGAAGGAAGAAGGCUUUCGGGUUGUAAACUUCUUUUAUUCGGGACGAAGAAAGUGACGGUACCGAAUGAAUAAGCCACGGCUAACUACGUGCCAGCAGCCGCGGUAAUACGUAGGUGGCAAGCGUUGUCCGGAUUUACUGGGUGUAAAGGGCGUGUAGCCGGGCUGACAAGUCAGAUGUGAAAUCCGGGGGCUCAACCCCCGAACUGCAUUUGAAACUGUUGGUCUUGAGUAUCGUAGAGGCAGGCGGAAUUCCUAGUGUAGCGGUGAAAUGCGUAGAUAUUAGGAGGAACACCAGUGGCGAAGGCGGUCAACUGGACAGCAACUGACGCUGAGGCGCGAAAGCGUGGGGAGCAAACAGGAUUAGAUACCCGUGUA
rnacentral:rRNA from 1 species